ensembl:lncRNA
CUCAUUAAUCCCUGGUAAUAAACGUAGCUGAUGUAGCCCAUAAUGGUUAAACUUUGCCUCCAGUCAUAUACAUGCAUCCUGUUUGCCAAGUUCCUAUUUCUCAUAAUUUGAUUUAGGGCAAAUACCUAAAAAAAGGAAGUAUUGAGUUACUGUGGUGUUCACUUUUGUGCUUCCUUGUGAUCCACACACAUUGCUUUAGAUAAGCACACACAUUUCCAAUUUAUCUUCUCCACUGAAAUGCUUUGUAUUUGUAAUCUGAAUCUUUGAUUGCAGCUCCUGACUCUCUCUCAUGUGUGAAAACGGCUAUCUUUCCCUGAUCAGGGUUAGGUCUUGGCUUAGGGAAAGUAUGGGGACCUCUCUAGUUUCUUUAUGCUCCAUACCUGUGUAUUUGUGUCCAUAUGAAUUCUUAUAUAUAUAAGACGGCACUCAUUUUUCAAAUCUUACUGAUAACUGCUCAAACAAAGAUACAGGUCAUCAAUGAGCAGGUAGGGGCUCUGAGUGAUUUGCAUGGAUGUUUUGGAACAAGAUAUGGUUGUCGAUGGGCCGGUCGGAGUCUAGCUGUGAUCCAACACAGUUCCUCCAGCCUAACGGCACCUGUGCCCCCUGUGGUCCGGGACAACCGCUGUCAGAGGACUGUGGUUUUGGAGAUGGGGGCACGACGCUCUGUGUUGUGUGUGGGAGGGGAUAUUUCAGUGUGGCCUCCUACAAUGUCUCGCUGCGGCUAGUAGGACAUGGACAUGUCACGUGAUUCCACUUGCCACCCCCACUGACGUCACUGGCUAAUGACUGAAACAACCUAAUUGUGAUUGCAAAAACAUGCGUUUGUGAAAUGUGUUUUUGAUGGGUCCGCUCCUUAAGUUAACGUAUUUAUCCACGAUAGCAGACACUUUAAAU